rnacentral:misc_RNA from 1 species
UUUUGAUGUGGAAUUAAUUGGAGAGGGAGCUAGGCAAGAGACUAUAUUGCAGUACAGUCAUGAGAAUGUGAAUAGGACUGUGUUGAAUCCUUACAUUCAUUUUGGGCAGAGGUCGGUUUGGCCUAGAGGGUUGCCAUUGGAGAAUGUGGGUGAAAUUGAAAACGAAGAGUUCUACACUGAGGUUUUUGGUGGGAAACAAUUUAUACAACAAGGGAUUUCGAAUGGAUUGCCAGAUGUUGAUUCUGUGUUUUAUUUUACUAGGAAAUCUGGUUUGGAAGCUUUUGAUAUUAG